rnacentral:lncRNA from 1 species
AAAGAGUGUUUAAAUAUAUUUUAGAUUGAAUAUUUUCAUAAUUUUAUCACAAGUCUUUAAUUUUUUGUUCUAUUUUGAAGUUAGACAAUUUUAGAGUUAGGUCCAGAGUAUUAACCAAUUUUGAAUAUGGUGACCUUUUGUUAUCAUUUUAAAGAGUUUAAGAGUCAUAUUUUAUUUGGUUAGAGUUAUUACAAAUUUGUCAGAGUUGCUUUUGAGUUUUUUAGAGUUGGAGAUAAGAAUAAAAGAUACAUUUGAG